CAAUAGCGUAUAUUAAAGUUGUUGCGGUUAAAAAGCUCGUAGUUGGAUUUCUGUUGAGGACGGCCGGUCCGCACUAUGUGCGUGUAUCUGGUUCGGCCUUGGCAUCCUCUUGAGGAACGUAUCUGCGCUUGAUUGCGUGGAGCGGUAUUCAAGACUUUUACUUUGAGGAAAUUAGAGUGUUCACGGCAGGCAAGCGCCUUGAAUACGUUAGCAUGGAAUGAUAAUAUAGGAUCUUGGUUCUAUUUUGUUGGUUUCUAGAGCUAAGGUAAUGAUUAAUAGGGAUAAUUGGGGGCAUUUGUAUUAACGCGUCAGAGGUGGAAUUCUUGGAUUGCGUUACGACAAACUACUGCGAAAGCAUUUGCCAAGGAUGUUUUCAUUG
rnacentral:rRNA from 1 species